rnacentral:tRNA from 1 species
GCGAACGUGUUGAAAUUGGUAGACAAGUCCGUUUUAGGUACGGUUGCCUUAUGGUGUAGGAGUUCGAGUCUCCUCGUUCGUA